UAAUUGAAGAGUUUGAUCAUGGCUCAGAUUGAACGCUGGCGGCAGGCCUAACACAUGCAAGUCGAGCGGUAACAUUUCUAGCUUGCUAGAAGAUGACGAGCGGCGGACGGGUGAGUAAUGCCUGGGAAAUUGCCUUGAUGUGGGGGAUAACCAUUGGAAACGAUGGCUAAUACCGCAUAAUGCCUUCGGGC
rfam:Vibrio sp. CECT 9027 strain CECT 9027T genome assembly, contig: 0009